rnacentral:rRNA from 1 species
AACUUAUGAACAUCGUAGUUGCUGUUGACGGCCAAGCGCCUGAAAUGGUUUGCUACGGUUCAUCCUUCUAGAAGGCUGCGUUGCACUUGAUUGUGUGAUGUAUGUUGACUAGAUCAUUUACUGUGAGUAAAUCAGAGUGUUUAAAGCAGGCUUAUGCCUGAAUGUUUUAGCAUGGAAUAAUAAGAUAGGGCUUUGGUUUUAUUUUGUUGGCUUCUAAGACUAAAGUAAUGAUUGAUAGGGAUAGUUGGGGGUGCUAGUAUUUAACGGUCAGCGGUGAAAUGCGUGGACCCGUUAAAGACUAACUUAUGCGAAAGCAUU